UCAAACAGCAGAAUACAAGGCAGAAAAAUAGUGAUCAAACAACUACAGUUCUCAGUGAAGCUGCAAAUUGUGGACUUUGUCAAAUUCUCGUACUGAAGGCUGUUUGGUGAAAGACAAAGCGGCAAAUCCCAAAUGCCAAAGUACAGUGUUACGGAGAAAGACAAGUGAGCACAGAAUGGUGUGAGACACUGGAGUUAGGGAAUGCAACUCCUCCAAGGCUAGCAUAUGAUGAUUGUGCAAAAUCAGAUCGGGGUCUCAGGUACUCACUCAGAUGCUUUUAAAAGUUCUAAGGGUCCCUUCCUCUAUCACACUCUGGCAGCAUGAUCCAGAUUUUAAUCGUCAUCCAG